CCUACGGGAGGCAGCAGUGGGGAAUAUUGCACAAUGGGGGAAACCCUGAUGCAGCGACGCCGCGUGAAGGAAGAAGUAUCUCGGUAUGUAAACUUCUAUCAGCAGGGAAGAUAGUGACGGUACCUGACUAAGAAGCACCGGCUAAAUACGUGCCAGCAGCCGCGGUAAUACGUAUGGUGCAAGCGUUAUCCGGAUUUACUGGGUGUAAAGGGAGCGUAGACGGAGUGGCAAGUCUGAUGUGAAAACCCGGGGCUCAACCCCGGGACUGCAUUGGAAACUGUCAAUCUAGAGUACCGGAGAGGUAAGCGGAAUUCCUAGUGUAGCGGUGAAAUGCGUAGAUAUUAGGAGGAACACCAGUGGCGAAGGCGGCUUACUGGACGGUAACUGACGUUGAGGCUCGAAAGCGUGGGGAGCAAACAGGAUU
rnacentral:rRNA from 1 species